UACGGAAGGCAGCAGUGGGGAAUAUUGCACAAUGGGCGCAAGCCUGAUGCAGCCAUGCCGCGUGUAUGAAAAAGGCCUUCGGGUUGUAAAGUACUUUCAGUCGUGAGGAAGGUGUUAAGGUUAAUAACCUUAGCAAUUGACGUUAGCGACAGAAGAAGCACCGGCUAACUCCGUGCCAGCAGCCGCGGUAAUACAGAGGGUGCAAGCGUUAAUCGGAAUUACUGGGCGUAAAGCGCGCGUAGGUGGUUCGUUAAGUUGGAUGUGAAAUCCCCGGGCUCAACCUGGGAACUGCAUUCAAACUGACGAGCUAGAGUAUGGUAGAGGGUGGUGGAAUUUUCCUGUGUAGCGGUGAAAUGCGUAGAUAUAGGAAGGAACACCAGUGGCGAAGGCGACCACCUGGGACUGAUACUGACACUGAGGUGCGAAAGCGUGGGGAGCAAACAGGGAUUAGGAUAACC
rnacentral:rRNA from 1 species